rnacentral:lncRNA from 1 species
GGUGACACGUGGCAAGGCAUUUCAAGGCAAAAUCUGGAGAGGGGUAAAAUUGGAAUGUAAUUUUCGAAAUAAAAAAAAAAAAAAUUAAGAUUUUCUCAAAAUAGGUAUAUUUUAGAUGCAUAAAGUUUCAUACGAGAAUGCAUGAACUUUCAUAUAAAAAUGCAUAAAGUUUCAUAUAAAAAUGCAUAAGAUUUCACCCCACCCCAACCCCACCCCCC